UUUUAUUUGAGAGUUUGAUCCUGGCUCAGGAUGAACGCUGGCGGCGUGCCUAACACAUGCAAGUUGAGCGAUUUACUUCGGUAAAGAGCGGCGGACGGGUGAGUAACGCGUGGGUAACCUACCCUGUACACACGGAUAACAUACCGAAAGGUAUGCUAAUACGGGAUAAUAUAUUUGAGAGGCAUCUCUUGAAUAUCAAAGGUGAGCCAGUACAGGAUGGACCCGCGUCUGAUUAGCUAGUUGGUAAGGUAACGGCUUACCAAGGCGACGAUCAGUAGCCGACCUGAGAGGGUGAUCGGCCACAUUGGAACUGAGACACGGUCCAAACUCCUACGGGAGGCAGCAGUGGGGAAUAUUGCACAAUGGGCGAAAGCCUGAUGCAGCAACGCCGCGUGAGUGAUGAAGGCCUUCGGGUCGUAAAACUCUGUCCUCAAGGAAGAUAAUGACGGUACUUGAGGAGGAAGCCCCGGCUAACUACGUGCCAGCAGCCGCGGUAAUACGUAGGGGGCUAGCGUUAUCCGGAUUUACUGGGCGUAAAGGGUGCGUAGGCGGUCUUUCAAGUCAGGAGUGAAAGGCUACGGCUCAACCGUAGUAAGCUCUUGAAACUGGGAGACUUGAGUGCAGGAGAGGAGAGUGGAAUUCCUAGUGUAGCGGUGAAAUGCGUAGAUAUUAGGAGGAACACCAGUUGCGAAGGCGGCUCUCUGGACUGUAACUGACGCUGAGGCACGAAAGCGUGGGGAGCAAACAGGAUUAGAUACCCUGGUAGUCCACGCUGUAAACGAUGAGUACUAGGUGUCGGGGGUUACCCCC
rnacentral:rRNA from 1 species